GACGAACGCUGGCGGCGUGCUUAACACAUGCAAGUCGAACGGAAAGGCCCUGCUUUUGUGGGGUGCUCGAGUGGCGAACGGGUGAGUAUCACGUGAGUAACCUGCCCUUGACUUUGGGAUACCUUAAGGAAACUGGGGCUCAUACCGGAUAUGAGAUCCUGCUGCAUGGUGGGGGUUGGUAAGUUUCGGCGGUUGGGGAUGGACGCGCGGAUUAUCAGCUUGUUGGCGUGGUAGUGGAUUAGCAAGGCUUUGACGGGUAGCCGGCCUGAGAGGGUGACCGGCCACAUUGGGACUGAGAUACGGCCCAGACUCCUACGGGAGGCAGCAGUGGAGAAUAGUGCAAAAUAGGCGGAAUCAGGAUGCAGCAACGCCGCGUGCGGGAUGACGGCCUUCGGGUAGGAAACCGCGUUCGCCUGGGACGAAGCGUGAGUGACGGUAAUGGGUAAAGAAGCACCGGCUAACUACGUG
rnacentral:rRNA from 1 species